UUGUUUCUGGAAUUGAAUCUCU
rnacentral:snRNA from 1 species